rnacentral:rRNA from 1 species
GACGAACGCUGGCGGCGUGCUUAACACAUGCAAGUCGAACGGUAAGGCCCUUUCGGGGGUACACGAGUGGCGCACGGGUGAGUAACACGUGGGUGAUCUGCCCUGCACUUUGGGAUAAGCCUGGGAAACUGGGUCUAAUACCGGAUAGGACUACGCGAUGCAUGUCGUGUGGUGGAAAGCUUUUGCGGUGUGGGAUGGGCCCGCGGCCUAUCAGCUUGUUGGCGGGGUGAUGGCCUACCAAGGCGACGACGGGUAGCCGGCCUGAGAGGGUGUCCGGCCACACUGGGACUGAGAUACGGCCCAGACUCCUACGGGAGGCAGCAGUGGGGAAUAUUGCACAAUGGGCGCAAGCCUGAUGCAGCGACGCCGCGUGGGGGAUGACGGCCUUCGGGUUGUAAACCCCUUUCAGCACAGACGAAGCGUAAGUGACGGUAUGUGCAGAAGAAGCACCGGCCAACUACGUG